rnacentral:rRNA from 1 species
CCUACGGGUGGCUGCAGUGGGGAAUUUUGGACAAUGGGGGCAACCCUGAUCCAGCCAUGCCGCGUGCGGGAAGAAGGCCUUCGGGUUGUAAACCGCUUUUGUCAGGGAAGAAAUCUUCCGAGCUAAUACCUUGGGAUGAUGACGGUACCUGAAGAAUAAGCACCGGCUAACUACGUGCCAGCAGCCGCGGUAAUACGUAGGGUGCAAGCGUUAAUCGGAGUUACUGCGGGUAAAUGUUGCAGACAGGUGUGAAAUCCCCGGGCUUAACCUGGGAACUGCACUUGUGACUGUACGGCUGGAGUACGGCAGAGGGGGAUUGAAUUCCGCGUGUAGCAGUGAAAUGCGUAGAUAUGCGGAGGAACACCGAUGGCGAAGGCAGUCCCCUUGGCCUGUACUGACGCUCAUGCACGAAAGCGUGGGGAGCAAACAGGAUUAGAUACCCCGGUAGUC